rnacentral:rRNA from 1 species
GAUGAACGCUGGCGGCGUGCCUAAUACAUGCGAGUCGAGCGAACAGACGAGGAGCUUGCUCCUCUGCCGUUAGCGGCGGACGGGUGAGUAACACGUGGAUAACCUACCUCUAAGACUGGGAUAACUUCGGGAAACCGGAGCUAAUACCGGAUAAUAUAUUGAACCGCAUGGUUCAAUAGUGAAAGACGGUUUUGCUGUCACUUAUAGAUGGAUCCGCGCCGCAUUAGCUAGUUGGUAAGGUAACGGCUUACCAAGGCAACGAUGCGUAGCCGACCUGAGAGGGUGAUCGGCCACACUGGAACUGAGACACGGUCCAGACUCCUACGGGAGGCAGCAGUAGGGAAUCUUCCGCAAUGGGCGAAAGCCUGACGGAGCAACGCCGCGUGAGUGAUGAAGGUCUUCGGAUCGUAAAACUCUGUUAUUAGGGAAGAACAAAUGUGUAAGUAACUAUGCACGUCUUGACGGUACCUAAACAGAAAGCCACGGCUAACUACGUG